GCUGGGCAUGGUGGCGCAUGCCUGUAAUCCCAGCUACUUGGAGGCUGAGAUAGGAGAAUUGCUUGAACUCAGGAAGCGGAGACUGCAGUGAACUGAAAUCAUGCCAUUGUACUCCAGCCUGGGCAACAGAGCGAGACUUCAUCUCAA
ensembl:misc_RNA Metazoa_SRP Metazoan signal recognition particle RNA